rnacentral:tRNA from 1 species
GCGCCCGUAGCUCAGUUGGAUAGAGCACCCGCCUUCUAAGCGGACGGUCCCUGGUUCGAAUCCAGGCGGGCGUGCCA